AGGACAAACGCUGGCGGCGUGCCUAAGACAUGCAAGUCGAACGGAAGGCUUCGGCCUUGAGUGGCGGACGGGUGAGGAGCGCGUGGAGAACCUGCCCCGGGGUGGGGGAUAACAGUCGGAAACGAUUGCUAAGACCGCAUACGACCAUUCGUUGCAGGAUGAAUGGGGAAAGCAGCGAUGUGCCCUGGGAGGGCUCCGCGUCGGAUUAGCUAGUUGGUGGGGUAACGGCCUACCAAGGCUGCGAUCCGUAGCUGGUCUGAGAGGACGGCCAGCCACACUGGGACUGAGACACGGCCCAGACUCCUACGGGAGGCAGCAGUUAGGGAAUUUUGCAAUGGGCGAAAGCCUGAACGAGUGACGCCGCGUGCGGGAUGACGCCUUUCGGGUGUAAACCGCUUUUCCCAAGGACGAGGAUGGACGGUACUUGGGGAAUAAGUCUCGGCUAACUACGCGCCAGCAGCCGC
rnacentral:rRNA from 1 species